GAGUUUGUACUUAAGAGGGAGAGAGAGAGAGAGAGGAGAGAUUGGUAUUGUAGGAAACAGUAGAGAACAACUCAGGUUCGUUUCUUUUUAUGUUCUGAUCAAUUGUGUUUCUAUUCCAAGUAAAUAUAUGUUCUUAGUUUGCGUAAUCAGAAGUUCUUAUUUUGGUUUUAUUGUUUUAUUGAUUUGAGUAGUUGCUAUUAACAAUUGGUUUUGGUUUUGUUGAGUUCUGUAAAGUAGGAUUGUUGAUUCUUUGGUUUUGGUUAUCUUUGAUUUCAAUUCUUUGUUUUGCCAAAUUAGCUCUUUUACUUGUUUAGUAGAAGAUCAUUGUGCAGAUGUUGUUGUUACUUGCUCAGAGUCUUUAAACGUUUCUUUGAAACUUGAGACAUAGGUAUAUUAGCAGAUUUUUAGAAAAAAAUACUAGAACUGUUACUGAACUUUGAAAUUGCAUAACUAAUUACAGAAAAUCAUUUUGAGGUGAUUUAAGUUCUGAAAGCUUCUGAUAUCUAGUUUAUUUCUGUAGAAGGCUAUGAAGUCAAAUUCUUUACGGAUUUGUAUAGUUUUUAAUAUGAAAGUGAAUGUGUUAGAAAAAUGUUGUGUUUAUAUGUGUCCAGUAAAUGUGUAUUGAGAAGCAACUCACUUCUCAUGCUUGUUAAGGUGUUUACUCAGUUAAAUACUUUAUUUUAGAGUACUGAAAUUAAUGUAUUGCAUUGCUAAAAAAUAACUUGUUGUCUUGAUCAUGAACUCGCUAUGAAAAUCAAUCAAGGUAGGGGGAUCUCGGGAACCUCUAUAUUUAAUUUAUUGUGUUUUGUUUGCUGGUUUUCUAUAUGUGUUUUGUUUGUUGUUUGCUGUUUUGAAGCUCUUUAUAAUUGUUGUGUUUCUGGCUGAUGUUUUGCUAUAUAUGAUUUUGUUUAUGAAACUUGAUUGUGGAAUUAUUGAUCAGGUGUUAUUUGUGAUAUGUCCUUAGUUAAUCAACAUGUUCAUGAAUAUAAAACUAAGGAACCAAGAGUUUGACGAAAUUGAGAAUGAGAUUUUGAGAGAAUGCUUUUGUGUAGUUGAGCUUAAUUCGUAAGGACCAAGUAUCAGGUGGGCUAAUAUGACAGUACGAUUUUGGUGAUCAAGAUUAAGCAAGAGGACUAGCAAAAAGGGAAUCAUGGUUUGGGUGAGGGGGUUAUUAUUGAAGGGAUCAUUGCAUUCAUGCAUUGUUAUGGUUGACAUCUGUUGUUUAAAGAGGACUAGCCUCUUACUGAGCGUUGUUCACCCUUAAGAAUAUUGUGCAGGUAUUGAACAUGAAGUUUAGGUUUCUCUAUUUAAAGAGCUUUGUGCAUUAUGUGAAGAAAGUGUGUGGCUUGUCCUUUUAAAUUUCUGUUUAGAAUAAGAGAAAAGGCCGCAGCAUGUUGUUUAGCUUUUGAAGUUUAUAUUUUAAUUUCAGUUGGAAUAAUAAAGUUUAUAUUGUAAUUUAUGACAUCUUAAUUGAAUUGGCUAUGCCCUUUACUUAAUUCCAAGUUCUUCGAAUUAGUUCUUUAUUUUCCAGCUUGUUUAUUUAGAGUUCAUAGGUUAAACUCAAAGUAAGAAUAAAACCUGCAAAUCUGAAACAAUGUUUUUUUUCAAAUUCUGCAUCAGUUACCUUUUUUCUGAAAACUGUACAAUUUCGUUUGGAAUUUGAAGUUGGUUUCUUCAAAAGAUUUGUAGUAGACAUCUUAAGGUUCGUUCCAGAUUUUAAAUCACUUGAAAACGAUUUUUGUAGAUUAAGUUAUAAUUUUUCAAAGUUUAAGGUCUACAUUAGGAAAUUCAGCAUAUUUGUAUUUUUUUUUUUUUUUUAGAUUUUUGACUAGUUACCUUCUUUCUAAAAACUUUACAAAUUGGUUAGUUGUUUGAACUCGGUGUCUUCAUGAAAGUUAGAGUAGAGACCUUAAUGAUCGUUUCAGAACUAGAAUCUCUUGAAAAUAAGUUUUCUAGAAUUAGUUAUUAUAUUCCAAAGUUACAGGUCUGCUGCAUAAUUUUUUUGAAACAACAGCCAAGUUCUUAUUUCUUUUACUAGCUAGUUUUUCUUUUCAUACUAGUCACACCUUCGACUCAAAAAAAAAAAAUAUAUAUAUAUAUAUGGGCUAGGGUGUGACACAGCAGGAGUAACCGAGCUCUUUAGCAUGUCACAACCAAAGUACUCGAAAUGGAAGUACACACUUGAGAAAAGGCAUCCCUACUGAUGACGGUGACCAAGGUCUGACAUCGGACGGUGUCUACCAAUCUGUUUGUACAUAGGACUAUUAUCUUGGCAUGUAUGGUUGUAUGGGCCCCUCACAUAUUUUGCCGUAUUCUCU
rnacentral:lncRNA from 1 species